rnacentral:rRNA from 1 species
AACUUUCAGCAACGGAUCUCUUGGCUCUCGCAUCGAUGAAGAACGCAGCGAAUUGCGAUAAGUAAUGUGAAUUGCAGAUUUCCAGUGAAUCAUCGAAUCUUUGAACGCACCUUGCGCUCCUUGGUAUUCCGAGGAGCAUGCCUGUUUGAGUGUC